GUGGAAGUAGCUCAGUUGGUUAGAGUAUCAGGUUGUGGCCCUGAGGGUCGUGGGUUCGAGUCCCAUCUUCCACCCCA
rnacentral:tRNA from 1 species